rnacentral:rRNA from 1 species
GAGUUUGAUCGUGGCUCAGGAUGAACGCUGGCGGCGUGCUUAACACAUGCAAGUCGAGCGAAGCACCUUGACGGAUUUCUUCGGAAUGAAGUUUUGGUGACUGAGCGGCGGACGGGUGAGUAACGCGUGGGUAACCUGCCUCAUACAGGGGGAUAACAGUUGGAAACGGCUGCUAAUACCGCAUAAGCGCACAGUACCGCAUAGUACCGUGUGAAAAACUCCGGUGUAUGAGAUGGACCCGCGUCUGAUUAGGUAGUUGGUGGGUAACCGGCCUACCAAGCCGACGAUCAGUAGCCGACCUGAGAGGGUGACCGGCCACA